UACGAAGGGGGCUAGCGUUGCUCGGAAUCACUGGGCGUAAAGGGUGCGUAGGCGGGUUUUUAAGUCAGAGGUGAAAUCCUGGAGCUCAACUCCAGAACUGCCUUUGAUACUGGAGAUCUUGAGUAUGGGGAGAGGUGAGUUGGAACUGCGAGUGUAGAGGUGAAAUUCGUAGAUAUUCGCAAGAACACCAGUGGCGAAGGCGGCUCACUGGCCCAUAACUGACGCUGAGGCACGAAAGCGUGGGGAGCAAACAGG
rnacentral:rRNA from 1 species